rnacentral:tRNA from 1 species
UAUAAUCUGGUGUAAGGUGCACGAAAGUUUUUGAUACUUAAAGAAAUAGUUCAAGCCUAUUGGUUAUAA